rnacentral:rRNA from 1 species
AAAUUGAAGAGUUUGAUCAUGGCUCAGAUUGAACGCUGGCGGCAGGCCUAACACAUGCAAGUCGAACGGUAGCACAGAGAGCUUGCUCUCGGGUGACGAGUGGCGGACGGGUGAGUAAUGUCUGGGAAACUGCCCGAUGGAGGGGGAUAACUACUGGAAACGGUAGCUAAUACCGCAUAACGUCGCAAGACCAAAGUGGGGGACCUUCGGGCCUCACACCAUCGGAUGUGCCCAGAUGGGAUUAGCUAGUAGGUGGGGUAACGGCUCACCUAGGCGACGAUCCCUAGCUGGUCUGAGAGGAUGACCAGCCACACUGGAACUGAGACACGGUCCAGACUCCUACGGGAGGCAGCAGUGGGGAAUAUUGCACAAUGGGCGCAAGCCUGAUGCAGCCAUGCCGCGUGUAUGAAGAAGGCCUUCGGGUUGUAAAGUACUUUCAGCGAGGAGGAAGGCGUUGUGGUUAAUAACCACAGCGAUUGACGUUACUCGCAGAAGAAGCACCGGCUAACUCCGUGCCAGCAGCCGCGGUAAUACGGAGGGUGCAAGCGUUAAUCGGAAUUACUGGGCGUAAAGCGCACGCAGGCGGUUUGUUAAGUCAGAUGUGAAAUCCCCGGGCUCAACCUGGGAACUGCAUUUGAAACUGGCAAGCUUGAGUCUCGUAGAGGGGGGUAGAAUUCCAGGUGUAGCGGUGAAAUGCGUAGAGAUCUGGAGGAAUACCGGUGGCGAAGGCGGCCCCCUGGACAAAGACUGACGCUCAGGUGCGAAAGCGUGGGGAGCAAACAGGAUUAGAUACCCUGGUAGUCCACGCCGUAAACGAUGUCUACUUGGAGGUUGUGCCCUUGAGGCGUGGCUUCCGGAGCUAACGCGUUAAGUAGACCGCCUGGGGAGUACGGCCGCAAGGUUAAAACUCAAAUGAAUUGACGGGGGCCCGCACAAGCGGUGGAGCAUGUGGUUUAAUUCGAUGCAACGCGAAGAACCUUACCUGGUCUUGACAUCCACGGAAGUUUUCAGAGAUGAGAAUGUGCCUUCGGGAACCGUGAGACAGGUGCUGCAUGGCUGUCGUCAGCUCGUGUUGUGAAAUGUUGGGUUAAGUCCCGCAACGAGCGCAACCCUUAUCCUUUGUUGCC